AACGAACGCUGGCGGCAUGCUUAACACAUGCAAGUCGAACGAGACCUUCGGGUCUAGUGGCGCACGGCUGCGUACCGCGUGGUAACUAGCCCUUAGGUUCGGUAGAACUCCCCGAAAGGGGUGCUAAUACAGGAUAAUGUAAUCCGACCAAAGAUGUAUCGCUUUUGGAUGGGCCCGCGUUAGAUUCGCUAGUUGGUAGGGUAAAAGCCUACCAAGGAGACGAUGCUUAGCUGGUCGGGGAGGAGGAUCAGCCACACUGGGGCUGAGACACGGCCCAGACUCGUACGGAAGGGAGCAGUGGGGAAUAUUGGACAAUGAGCGAAAGCCUGAUACAGCAGUGCCGCGGGAGUGAUGAAGCCCUUAGGGUUGUAAAGCUCUUUUAGCCGGGAUGAUAAUGACAGUACCGGGAGAAUAAGCACCGGCUAACUACGUG
rnacentral:rRNA from 1 species